UACGGAGGAUCCAAGCGUUAUCCGGAAUCAUUGGGUUUAAAGGGUCCGUAGGCGGGGCAAUAAGUCAGUGGUGAAAGUCUGCAGCUCAACUGUAGAACUGCCAUUGAUACUGUUGUCCUUGAGUUACUGUGAAGUUGUUGGAAUAUGUAGUGUAGCGGUGAAAUGCAUAGAUAUUACAUAGAACACCGAUUGAGAAGGCAGAUCACUAACGGUGCACUGACGCGGAUGGACGAAAGCGUAGGUAGCGAACAGG
rnacentral:misc_RNA from 1 species